UGGAAAAAAACCUUCUUGUGGAUAAAAACCUUAAAUUGUCCCCAAUGUCUGCUUCAAAUUGGAUGGCACUGCAGCUGGAGGCUUUGUUCAGAAUUGAUCCUGGGGAGCUACGAACCCAAAGUUUCACAGUAGGAAGGGGGAAAAAAGAAAAGAAAACAUUUUUCCUAAUGUAACAAUGCGAAUGCUAGAAAAUGACAAGACUGAUCGGUUUUAAACCAUUCUGAAGACUGACUGAGCGUGGAAGUUGCUCAACAAAAAAGGGAACGGGGAUAUUGACAGGAACAAGUUGUCCUCUGAGAGCCUCCACCCAGCAACUGACUCAGACUGCUACUCAGUUCUACUCUUUGACCAAACAAGGCAAAAGAACCUUCCAAUCCUAGCAAGAAGAAUGCUGUCAAAGAACCAGAGGGAAACCUACUCCCAGAAGAACAUCUCCCUGUACUGCUUUCCCACUGCUAUGGAGUGUCUUGAACACUGGUCCCUGGACACCAACUUCAAGAAGACUUCAUGGAUGGCUGUCCAGUCUUAUGAGCCACAGUUUCCCCUCUACACUUUCUUCACUCCAGUGAGGCUCUUAUCAGGGUCAGAUCAGAGAUGAACCAGCUGGACAACAGAUUGGAGUGCUGACCUCUUAGAGUGCUAACAGUGAACAGUGUGGGGUCAUAUCUAUAGAGAAAGAUAAUAAGAAGAAAACACCCUACAUGCAAGGGAGAGGGAUGUUUCAUAAUUUCUUAAAGAUUGAAAUCAAGGAACAAUCAAAAUAUAGAGGAAUGUGGAUGUAUUUUGCUGCAGGACUUCUGUUUUUGUCCCCACUGGAAUAUGUAUUAUGGUAUUCCUGUUGGAUCAGAACUCAGGGGCAAGGCUAAGCAUUCCAGUGGUCCCCCUACUUAGCUCUUGUCCUUUCCUAAGAAACACCAACUCAUUAGUCUCUAUAUUACUUCUCUGUACUGUAGAUCUGCAUUCUUGAUCUGAAAGAUAUUGGCAAUGACACUCUUGUAUGAUAAAGGUCAAUGAUAAGAGUACUUCAACCCCCCCUUGAACUUUUUGUUUAUACAUCAAAUGGUGACAUUGUGUAUUGAGCUAAUUAGAUCAAUGGAGUCACAGGGUGAUACUGAACUCUUUAAAAAUAUUUGGCUGAAACAUGACAUUGUAGUUAUUUGUAGAAGAGAACAUUAUGGAAUAUGAAAAACAUCACAGAACACAGAACUAGAAGCAGGUAGACGUUGUUCCUUUUCCGUAGAGCUUUCAUCCAAAUGUCUCUGUAGAAAAUAGUGGCUAUCAUAUAUAUGUAGCCACAUAGAUGUCCUUGAGUGUACCCUGUAGUCAGUGGGAGAGUUCCUACUGCCACAGUCAUGGCCAUGGCUAUGUUCUCUAAGCCUAUAUUUUAUAAACACUCUGUGAACCUUGACUACUUUUAUUUAGCAAGCAUUGCAAAGUCCUGGGAUGCCAGAGAAGUGCCUGGGGUUGGCAGGGCUUCUAGAGAGGGAAGUGUUAAAUGAUUUGAGCCAGAAAACAAACAGGGGAUGGGGUUCAGAACUAAGGAUUCCCUCUAUUCUAUGUAGGAAACCACAACAGGAAAUAUGCUGGGCAUGGAAACUUUGAUACCUUAGUUUUAGUUCUUUUUAAAAAUUAAUACUAAAAAGCUAUGCGACUGUAGGUAAGCCAUUUCCCAUCCCCUAUGAAUGUCUCCCAAAUGACUUCAAACUCCUUCUAGUUCUGAAAGGCUUUUAACAUCAGGGCCCAGGCUCCAAUGGCCAGUUUCAAAAUACCCUCCCUUUUGUUGUUAGGUUACAUAAACAUUGUUCUUUUUUAGGGAGGGUCUCCUUUAUCAACUUUUAAAAACACACAUCAGGUUCUCUGGUAUUAAAAAGAUGCUAUCUCUGAGUCCCCUACCAUCCGAGCUGCCUGCCUUUCCUCCUGCUCUUUCCUUAUUCCCAUCCCUGUGCUAUGCAGUAUGCAUCAGGCACGUGUUAGGUUUGCAGGUACAUGAUAGGUAAAGUGAACACAGAGGGUCUUCCCAUUCUCUUCUGGAAUUUUCUUUGGAGGGAGCCUGUUGUAUCUAGACAGACCGUGCUGUGGUACCCCUGAGGUAACCACCUCCAGGCUUCACUCUGCCUAAGCAAUUUUGCUGUGCACUAAGAUACACAUUUAAGUAACUGUUUAGAUUACCACAAGAACGUUCUCCAGGUAUGAGGGAAAGAGAUAAUUUCCUUCUGAGAUGUGUAUAGGAGAACCCUCCAUCCUGGGAAGCACAGUGACUACUCUCUGCAUCCCAUCCUUGCCCAGGGAAAGCUAAUGUUUCUCUGUGUUAUCCCUGUGACUUGCCACUUUUUAAAAAAGGAAUGGGAAAACAAGAAACAGACAAAAAUGUUGUCUGAUCUCAUUGGAAAUCCUUUUAAGAAUUAAUCCUUUCUAUCUCCUUCAUUAUCAACAAAUCUAUUGAAUACUUAUCUCUGAGUCCAGGGCAUAUUUUAUAAUACAUAAAACAAUGGAAUUUCAAAAUUGGAGCACUGACAUAUAAUAUUGGUUUUGGGUAUUUUUAUUAUAGGGAAUGACUUUAGACAUUGCAAUUUAUGACUUAACUGGUAAGAUGGGUGACUCUUGACUUUCAAUUUUCAUUUUCAGUUCAGGUCAAGGAAUAGCUUCCUUCAGGUAAUGUCUAUACCCUCCUAUGACUAAGGCUCUAACUAUCUCUGUUGCUUUUCUUUAUGUAGGCAUAUGUUAGUAUUUAUUUUCUAUAUGACAAAUGUAUUAAAGAAAGCAUGAAAUUAAUGAGAUAAACUUUUCGGAUAGGAGUUUAGAAAAUCAAUGGGCCAAGAUAAAUAAAUGAAAAAUCAACUUAAAUAAUUAACAUAUUCAAGAUAUAUUGGAAUAAAUGUUUAUUGUACCCUUUU